rnacentral:rRNA from 1 species
UUUGUAAAUGGCCGCAGUAUUCUGACUGUGCUAAGGUAGCAUAAUCAUUAGUCUUUUAAUUGAAGGCUGGUAUGAAUGACGAGACGAGAAAAUAGCUGUCUCUAAAAUAAAUCUUGAAUUUUAUUUCUAAGUGAAAAAGCUUAGAUAAUUUUAAAGGACGAUCAGACCCUUUGGAGCUUUAUUUAUUUUAAAUUUUAAUUUAUUUUAGAUUAUUGAAUGAAUAAUAAAUUUUGUUGGGGCGACAGAGAGUAAUAAAUACCACUCUUUUUUUUAAACAAUUAUAAUUGAAAAAUUGAUCCUUAAAGUAAGAUUAAAAGACUAAGUUACCCUAGGGAUAACAGCGUAAUCUUCUUGGAGAGUUCAAAUCGAUAAGAAGGUUUGCGACCUCGAUGUUGGAUUAAGAAGAUUGACACAGUGCAGAAGUUUUGUUGGAGAGUCAGAACGACUUU